GAUGAAGAACGCAGCGAAAUGCGAUAAGUAGUGUGAAUUGCAGAAUUCAGUGAAUCAUCGAAUCUUUGAACGCACAUUGCGCCCUUUGGUAUUCCUUAGGGCAUGCCUGUUCGAGCGUCAUUUAAACCUUCAAGCUAAGCUUGGUGUUGGGUGACUGUCCGCUUCACGGCGGACUCGCCUCAAAAUUAUUGGCGGCCGGUACAUUGGCUUCGAGCGCAGCAGAAACGCGAACUCGGGCCCGUCGUAUUGGCUCCCAGAAGCUAUCUUCACAAUUUUGACCUCGGAUCACGUAGGGAUACCCGCUGAACUUAAGCAUAUCAAUAAGCGGAGGA
rnacentral:misc_RNA from 1 species